GUGAGGUGUGAGCGGGCAGAUUCUAUCCGUCUCACGUCUCAUCCUGGGGACGCACCUGGGUGGUGCAGCCGAGUGCGUGACAGCUUUUCUCUAGGUAAACUUAUUCCUACCCCACAAAUACAUCUGAGAUGUCCACCAGGACCCACCAUUUGAUCACAAACAAUACCCUCUCCUCCAUCUUGCUACCAUGUGUAUGCCAUGC